rnacentral:tRNA from 17 species
GCCUCUCUAGCUCAGUGGUAGAGCAGCCGCCUUGUAAGCGGCAGGUCGUCAGUUCAAUCCUGACGGGGGGCUCCA